CGCGCGCCACAACACAUGGAGGAGUGCGGAGGAAGUCCUGUGUUUAUAUUACGUGAGUGCAGUUUUUUCAGGGUGUAAGUGUACCGUGUAAUCACUAGCAAAGGUAGUGGCCAUGAACACGGCGGCAGGCAACCAAGAUGGAGAGGCUGCACAAUAGAGCAAAGCCACUUAUUCCAGAGAUCUCAUAUGACGUAGAUCUCAAAGGAAGCGUGUUGAGCGCCGCGUCACCCUCACAGCGGACUAAAUAGGCCAGCAGGAGUCAGCACAGUUCAGCGCUGGUGCAAUUGUGUGGUCGUUGCUACGAGGCGCAGAGGAGGCGAGGGUCGCGACAAAGGUGACCGAGGGGCGGCGGCAGGUCGGGUGGCUGGCUGGCGACACGGCCUUGGUGCUGCUGGGUGUUGCGGAGACAGUAAUAACGGGACUGGCCAAGUUAAGAAUGUGGGUGAGAUGAAACGAAUCACUGCACAACGAGUUUCACUGGGUACAAGUUUCACUAGCACCACUUACACACAGGGCUCGCCGACACCCUGAGAGGCCCCGAAGAAUUGUAUCCGCUGGCACGCGUUGAUCCUUUGUAGGUCACGUGGGAUGCUACUGUGUAUGUGCUUGUGCUGCUUGUGCUUGUCUGGAUGUUUGUACGAGGUGUUACACGAUUAUCACAGCGGGAAUACAGUGAAAGGCACGUUGAGAUCAUCAUUUUUGUAAAGGCAAUUCUUGCAUGACAUGCAUUGGAGCUGACUCAAAAUAGCUUGCGGUACGAGUCAUCGCCUCAAAAAAAGAACAAAAAUAUAAAUACUGCAUACAUAAGAAGACGAAAUUGCGAAUGCUUGUACAGUUACCUAAAUAGUGAUAUCAUAUUCUCCUGAAUGUUUUACUAUAUUUUGUAGCAUCGUUUUUUGGAGUGUGUUUGUUCUCCAUGUGCGGCUGCCUGGCGGGUGUUUAUAUUCCUAGUCUCGUCAUUGCACGUAGCGUGGAUAUGGUUUGGGUAGGAUCAGGACACAAGACUGGACAGACUUAUUUAAGGGCCAAGAAAUUUCCUUAGAUAAAUGAAGGGCACUGUCUAAUCUGAUGGAGAUCUUUAAUUACAUCGAAGUGUUUAACGGGAGAGAGGUAAAGUUUCCAUGAUACAGGAGCAGGUCCGUACCAGUGGAUGUACCUGCGAGUCAGAGCAAAGAGGCGAGGGCACGGGCAGGCUCACAGUAGGGUAGUGGAUGAGUGAACAGAGCAGCCUGAACAGCCACGCAUUGCCAAUAUGGCAGAGUUGUAAACAUGUUGAUAUAUCUGUGAUAAGAUUGUAUAGAUAGACAGAGAAUCAGACAAGUGAGUUUUUCAACCGGUAAUGAAUCCAGAAUUUUAUGUACAGAAAUGAGAUGUUGGUAAUACCAGUCGACGUAGGAAAACUUGAGAAAAGCCUAGGCCAGAAAUCCAGUUGUAGGGAAGGUCAUGGUAAGAACUGUCUGUUGGCGGGAGUGAGAGGUGAAGGAGGCGUGCAGUAAAUUAGGUGCCUAGCAACAUUGGGAAUGGAACCAUACCUCCAGCUGCCCUCCUGGACGCCACCUGCCCGCGUUCUCGAUGUGUGACCAGAAGAAUUUUUCUGUAGAGGUUAAGAUUUUUCUAUGAAUAUUACUAAACAAUCAUGAGGGUUGGUAGCGUGUGCCAGGUUAAUCCAUUUCAUUCCUUGGUGCGGUUACUUGUUUUUUUUUUUUUUUUUGCACACAAGCAUGUGGGGAGAAUGCAAGACCUGCGGCCAACUCGGUCGGUGACGUGGGUCAGCGCUUACACCGGCCCGCUCAAUCUUCCCAUGAUUGUAUAUAUUUCGAUACCUAAUAUACAUAUUUUCUUCGCUUGUCUUAUUUCUUUUACCGCCCGAGGCUCCACUUUUUUGUUUAUGUAUAUACGUAUAUGAUGCUCGUGGCUCCAACGGGACUUGGCGGCACGGCCUAGAGUCACACGUGCGCGGCUUACCCCACUGCCAUUGCUGGUCUCAUGAGGAGACGUGUCUGUCACGCAU